rnacentral:tRNA from 1 species
UGUAUUAUAGUGUAAGAUGCAUGUGAGAUUUUGAUUCUCUUGGUUUUAGUUUAAUUCUUUUUAAUACAA